GUGCCAGCAGCCGCGGUAAUACGGAGGGUGCAAGCGUUAUCCGGAAUCACUGGGCGUAAAGGGCGCGUAGGCGGUCUGUUAAGUCCGAUGUUAAAGGCUGGGGCUCAACCCCAGUAAAGCGUUGGAUACUGGCAGGCUAGACGGUUGGAGAGGCGAGUGGAAUUACCAGUGUAGCGGUGAAAUGCGUAGAUACUGGUAGGAACACCCAUGGCGAAGGCAGCUCGCUGGACAACCCGUGACGCUGAGGCGCGAAAGUGUGGGGAGCAAACCGGAUUAGAUACCCUUGUAGUCC
rnacentral:rRNA from 1 species